rnacentral:lncRNA from 1 species
GACCAGCUUGCAGAACACGCAACCCACCCCAAAAUUCGUGAAAAGCUAAUUAUGUCCCCGGAUGAUUUGACUCUUAGAAAAGCGCUGGAAAUAGCCUUGCAGAUCGAAAAACCUACCGAGCUGACAUCACAACUAGCUUCCCGCGGUUUCUCUCAGCCCGCCUUAACACAGCAUGUGGAGGAUUCUGAGCGCUCACCUAGCCCUGCAUCAUCAGACACGGACCCAGGGAUUAACUACACAGCCCGCACACGUAGCCAGCCACGUCGCAGCUGUGGCAACUGUGGCUCCUCUUCACACAUGAGCAGAGCCCCAACAUGCCGGCCAGGGGAAAAGUCUGCCAGUGCUGCGGGAGAGACAACCACUUCGCCAAAGUCUGUCGCUCUGCGCCGUCCGUGCUAGGCCCACGACAGGCUGGGGCUACCUCAUCAGCCCCAACACCCAUACACUCGGUCAGCUCUGCACGUGUGUCCUUCAAGACGUGCACAGUGGAACUAGAUGGGGUCUGUGUUCCUUUACUGCUGGAUACUGGAGCGGCUUUAUCACUCCUCAACUGGUCCACAGUCAAGCGCUUCCUGCCCCACAUCGCGCUGCAGACGCCUUCGGCUGUUCUCCAUGGAUAUGGCAAUUCCAAGAUCGACUUAACGGCCUCCCUCAGCUGUUCGGUGCGCCAUGGCAACAAAUCCUUGGCUACCUUCACUUUUCAAGUGGCACGGCAUGGAGCUAACCUCAUGGGGCUGGACCUCAUCACCAGCUUGGGCUUCACGUUCAUGGACAGCUGUGGAGCAACAAUUCACCAGGUCAGCUCACCAUGGGAACAGCGAUGGCCAGCACUCUUUUCUGGCCUAGGCUGCAUCUCAGCUUUCACCCAUCAACCUCUCCUUCGUAAGGACAUACACCCGGUCAUACAGCCUCUCCGCCGCAUUCCCCUGGCACUACGCGAUAUCGUCACAGCAGAGCUGACAAAGCUGUUGGAAAUAGGCAUCAUUGAGUCAGUCAACGCCUCGCCCU